AGCCAGUUAUGCUUAAGUCAAUAUAUUAUAGUCAUGUCUAGAUAUUUCUAGUUCUUAUCUGUAUGUACGCUGGUAGGUAGAUGAGAGGAAA